UUAUUUGUUCUUCUGUUGGUUUGUCACCUCGAGAGCCAAGGCUGACUGUAAUACAUCAUGCCUCUCUCAAAAUGGGAUGUAGCUUAUGAAAGCUCCUGCCAUACCGGUCAGAACAUCGUACACAGUUGGGGAAUGUCGAGUCCAGCUCCUCCCAGUCUGCCACCUGGUUGAAGAAUGCAAGCAGAGCCUUCCCGUCUGCUGCAGGAGACAGGCUGCAUAAAAACCGCUCAACCAAAAUACAAGACCGCAGUCCUUUUUCUGGACCUCUUUCUUCAAUUGCUCCCACUCCAAUGCCAGCAAAAAUAACAUAAUAUUUGGAAUGGCAUAGAGAGAAAGACUCCCUUGUGCCUUCAACAAGACCUCUUUGGUUCGAGACUUGGAUUUGACUCGACAGCAUUCCAGGUGUUUAAUGUUUAUGGAA